CUGAUCCAUAUGAAUUCCUCUUAUUAAGAAAAAUAAAGCAUCCAGGAUUCAAUGAAGAACUGACUAUCACCUUGUUAAUCAUUCAGAAACAUGUUGCAGGCUUAAGCCAUUUUUGAUAUAGAUACUGAAACAAUUACUUGCUAAGAGCAAACUUGAAGUAACAAUUUGGACAAGACAGCAAAUGCUAUUGUCCAAGUUUUCUAAAGAAGAAUCUGAAGUGAAAUGACAUCAAGAGACCUAUCAAGACCUGUAUCCAGGAAAAGACCAAACCAAUGCAGACCAAACCAAUGCAGAACUCCUAUGUGCUGAUGGUGGUCUUACAUUUCCCUAAGUUUCUGCCGACUAAACUGUGCACACGUUCUCAGGACCUCCUGAAGCUGCGUCACAGGCACUAAUCAAAGAACACAACCAAGAGUUUGGCCUUUUCUUCAGCACUGGGAAUUGUGAUCCAAAGCUUUUCCUGAUGAAGCACAAAGUUGGAGAAAAAAAACGCAAACUAAACAACAACAAUGAAACAGAACAGAGUGAAUCUGCUGUAGCUCAAGAGAGGACGUAGCUGCCCCCACUCCGCAUCCCCGGGCUCGGGUUUGCCUUGCUGACCUCUGCUGCCACCUGGUGCCGCACAGAGAAACUGAGGAGAAACCACAUCAGUCUCCUUCAGCCUCAGCUUCACAUCUGUGGGUCAAGUAACCCUUUCAGAAGCUGAAUAAUGUGGGAAAGCUUUCCUCUCAGGAAAAUGCACACAUCCAACUUUGAGAAGAUGCCCUUGGGGGCGCUUCAAGGAUUCUAGAUAAUAACCCCCUUUCCCGAACAUCCAAGAACCUAAGAUUUUUUUUUUUUUUUUGAGAAAGUCUCGCUCUCUCUCCCAGUCUGGAGUGCAGUGGCGUGAUCUUGGCUCACUGCCAGCUCCACCUCCCAGGUUCACGCCAUUCUCCUGCUUCAGCCUCCCUAGUAGCUGGGGCUACAGGCACCUGCCACCAAACCCGGCUAAUUUUUUUGUAUUUUUAGUAGAGACGGGGUUUCACCGUGUUAGCCAGGAUCGUCUUGAUCUCCUGACCUUGUGAUCCACCCGCCUCGGCCUCCCAAAUUGCUGGGAUUACAGAUGUGAGCCACCGCACCUGGUCCAAGAGCCCAAGUUUUAGAUCUAGAGUGAUGUCAGCAUGACAUUGAUUUCCUGAGGCCCAGGGGCGAAGGAGCUGAGGACAGCAGAGGGGUGAAGGAACUCAGCUACAGACAGCAGCAGCUGAUGCACAGGCCUCCCAGCGCCUGAAGUCACCCGGAAUUGGGAAGUGCUCAGAAGCUUACAAAGCUGCCUCGAGGAACAGUAAGAGGACCUUGUGCAUGAAUAAUUUGUUUCCACACUGCAGAAAGAAUCCCAGACUUCUUAGAGAACCCAGUGACUUUUUGCACCUUAAAUCUGUGAAAUCCUCAUGCUUUCUUCUGCCGUAUCCAUCGUUCAAACAAACAUGAGGCAAAGCUAGACACAUUCCUGAAGGAACCCAAGAAAUUCCUCUCUUUCUCUCUCUGGAAUGAAAUGAAUUCUCUAGACCACCAGUUCUAACCUUCAAAAACGAAACCUGUUUGUGAGAUCUCCUUCAAAUACUACUGUAGACCCCAGUGUUUAUUCAUUAAAUUUUUUAAACAUUUGUUUUAUUUGG
rnacentral:lncRNA from 1 species